rnacentral:sRNA from 1 species
UACAUGCCAUCCCCACUGAAUGUCAGUGC